rnacentral:tRNA from 1 species
GGAGUCAUAGUUUAUUUUUAAAAUGUUCUUUUUGCAAAAGUAAGAAACUUUAUGUUGACUUUA